rnacentral:lncRNA from 1 species
CGCGGGCGGACCCUAGCGGCUCCCAGCCGCGCUGCACCCACCUCCUUUAGAAGGACAAGGGCUGCUGUGGUUGCAACUGCACAAAUGCCAUCUAACCCUAAACACUGUCACUGACCCAAAAGAGAAACCGACUUGAUUCUUCUCCCAAAGUUCUGAAAUAUAUUGUUGGCUGUCAGUAGAGAGGAAGCGCCUAGCCUCGCCGAGACUUGAAGUAGCGAGAAUGGUAUAUUAAAACUGCAUCAUUUUCAGAAAAAAAAAAAAAGUUGGGUGGGGAUCAUGGCAUAGUGGCAAACAACAUUAAUACCAUCACUCUGCAGCCAGGAGGAUCUCUGAGAGUUGAAGAACACCCUGGUCUACACUGCAAGUUCCAAGCCAGCCAGGGCUACAUAGUGAAACCCUAUCUCUGAAAAAUAAAAUAUGUCACGUUUCUC